GGUGGGACAAUUCUAGUUCAUAAGAAUCCUCAGUCUACUGUUGGAGAAAUAGAUAAGAUAACCUCUGCUCUUGAGCGCAAGUUACUGUUGGCGGGUUUCUUAGAAGUGGGAGUUCUCAAAUCAACGGUUCCAUUAGAAGUUCAGUCUUUUGGGGCCUUGAUAUUGUUUGCAGAAGCUUUGUUGAAGAAGCAGUAAAGAGUGUGGUUUUUAUUCCAAUCCAGUAUGAAACUUAGCUCUUGUUUGUUUAAAACUAACUUGU